AGGUGUUUCUUUUCCUUUGAUUUCAAUGUUUAAAUUCAAUUCUCUUUGUUUUGUGCAUAUGAGGAACUAAACCCCCCUUGGCUAGGGGGGGAUUCGAAAUGUUUAUGCUUGUGUUAUGAUUUGAUUACUUCUAAUUGCGUUUCAUAAGUUGUGAAUUCAAUUUACUUAUCUAUGCGAAUUACAUUGAUUUAUGUGUAUUGGUUGAGAGUGCACGCUUAAUUAUCAUGCAUAAAUUGAAUGCUAGGAUAUAAGGAAAUUUCACCUAAUCGUUAUGGAAUUAUAUUCACAAGUAGUAAAGGUUGAUGAUCUCAAUCGCGUUAAGUAAAUUCUUGGCAUAAGUUUCAUGCAAUCAUAGUAACAAGUGCUUCGUCAAUGCUUAUGGUUUUCAUAGAACUUAAUGAUUCUUGCUUGUAUCUCUAUUAUGCAAUCAUGUAGGGGACUUGUGGGGAAUGUUUGGGUUGUCGUAUGCAAUCAUCCAAUUCAAUAACGUUAGGAAAAUCUGAAGGUUAAUUUAAGCGAACCUAAUUAACUUGGGGCAUUGAGAAUUCAUGGUUUAUUGAAAAGCAAUUGGAAAUUGUUUUGUAUGCAAGUAUAACAUGUGUGGAGAUGAACCCCUUAGCUAGCCUUCCAUUCACCCAUUUAAAUCAAAUUCGUUUUUACAAUCUGUUCUAAUUUACAAAGUUUGUUUUGUUUUUAAAUUCAUCCAAAACCAAUCCCCCUUUGUUUUAAAGUGUCAAAUUAGUUAGUAAGUGUUUUACUUUGUGUUU
rnacentral:lncRNA from 1 species